rnacentral:lncRNA from 1 species
CGCUGUCGCCCCGCCUCCGUGGGGGGCGAGGGAACGCGGGGGUCGGCGGGGCGCAGGCGGGCUGCGCCGGGGUCCCGGCUCUGCGCUGCUGUGCAGUGCGCGGAAUUUUCUUUCCAAGCGGCCGCCUGGUUAUGCCCGCGGCUCCCUCCGCCCACACUUCGCCGCUCCCGGCGCAGAAACCUCACAGAAUAUUUAUACACUGCUGAGGGCUGGGAACCCAGCGGAAUCGGUCGAGGCCCUGCCCUGCGGAUGCUCCUGUCGCCGUGUCAGUGACAAUUGGCAGCCCUCUGGCGAGGCCCGCAUGUGGGGCCAAAGCCUUCUGCCUGAGGCCACAGAGCGUGCUUGCGAGCAGCCCCUCCAGCUCCACUCGAGGCUCAGAGACUGUAGCCCCAGCAACAGCCCUGCUGACUCCUCAUUAGCCUCCUGGGCUCGAACCCUCAAGGCAGCUGCUCCCAGAUCUGGACCCUGAUGCAGUGUGAGAUGGUAAAUGUCGCUUGUGCUAAGCAGCUAAGAUUUGGAGUAUUUGUUCUGCGGCAACAAGAACUGUGUUUGUCACCUGAAAGGCAGGUGCCCUGACCCCCGCCCAGGCCCCGCGUGCGGGGGCUGAGAGGAGGCACCGUGGGAGAGUCGCUUAUGCAACGUCCCGUGCUCACUGUGGCCGCUGAGGUGUCCAGGUCCUGUGUGGGGGCUGGGUGGGCGUGAGGACAUAAAGGAUGUGGUCAGGGUCUCGGUUCCCGUCCCUGGGGCCGUAGGUGUCACUCAGCCAUCAAUGGCCAUGCCUUUCACCCCAAAGCGAGCUCAUGGGAGGGGUAAUAACAGCGACUCGGGGUUUGGGAGGGGAGGGCAGGGUUGAGGGUGGAUCAAGUGUGCUGAGGUUUGGCAAAGAACGUGACCUGCACACGUCAAGGAGAAGCAUGGUUGGGGGGUUGGGGGGGGGAUCAGCAUGUCUUAGGACGUGGCUUGUGUGGGAGCAGCGUGUGUCCCACUAGCCCUGAGGGCGCAGGGGUGAAGAGGGGCGAGUCUGCGGGGCGGCUGAGAAAGGGCCUCGGUGCCAGGCUGAGGAGGGGCUUAGUUUGAGGCGUGCAGAUCAUUGCAAGCAGCU